ensembl:lncRNA
GGAGGAAAACACAGACAGCAUCUGCUAUUACAUGUAAGAUGGUGGAUAAAUUGAGUCUGCUGAUGAGAAUGCUUACUUAAUUAAACAUGCUGUCAGCCUGGCCUACACAUGAUUGAACAUGGAGAAAGGAAACAUUACGACGGAUGAGACAGAGGAUGGUCUAGACAGACAAAGAAGGAUAGAGGGAUUGUGGGAGGAAACGGGAGGGAGAGAGAUGGUCACAUGGACUAGAACUGGAGUAUAGUAUUCUGUGAAGAGCCAGGUAAUUACUGAAGUCCGGAAUAAGGAACGAACAUGACUGAAUGGUGACAAGUUAUAAUUCAUUGCUUAACCAUUAAUGGUUAGUUCAUUAAUUAUAUGUACAGUAAGACAGUUGGACGUGGUGAUGUGUUGUUUCAGAGUGGCUUCGUAGUGCCAUUUUUGACUACUGCCAUGGACUCUGAACAGGGUAAUUCUUGACGAUGCCUUUAUGAAGGAUUGAGGACGAUCGGAUCGUACACCCAAGACCCAACGCCCUUUCAUGUUUAGUGCACAUCCUCCAUAUAAACUCCACCUCCUCAUGUUAAAUCAAUCGCCUUCCUUUCUCAGUGUGUCUCCUCCCUCUUGUGUUCUCCUCUCCUCCCCUUGUAAUGUGUCUGCCAAUCUCUGUCGUCUGCACUGACUCCUCCCACAGUGGCAUGAGCGUUUUUUCGAUGUGACGUCAGUUUGUUAUCCAGGCACAGAGAGAGUGAGAAGGCUGGGAAGAGAGAGGAAGAGAUACGAGAUAUUGACUGCCAGUGGAUCCUUGUACAAAGAAAAUGAGACACUUAGUCUAGGGGUUUAAGAUGCUGUAUGAGGUUCAGGACAGAGUGCGAGAAACAGGUCUGUCGGAACGAACAAGCACAUGGAACGUGGACAGGCAUCUUUCAGUUCACUUCAUUAAUCCCAUUCUGUUCUGUUCUGGCGGUAGCUGGCACCAUAAUGAGGUGGUGUGUGUGUGUGUGUGUGUGUGUGUGUGUGUGUAUUCCCAGUGAGGGUGUUGAGAGAAGCUGUGUGCUGUGUGACGUAUGACAGCUCCUCAGGGAUUGGCUGUGACAUCAGCAAAUCAUCCUUCCCUC